GCUGUCCACAAGAAGGAGGAGAAGAAAACUGUAGAAGGCAGCAGCGAAGGAGAACGCAGAGGCUGAAGCUGCUGAGGAGAACCACUCUGAGAACGGAGAUGCCAAGACCAACCAGAUGGAGGAUGCUCCCGAGGCGGAGAAGGAGGAAGCCAAGUCUGAGUAGCAACACUGCCGAACCCUGACCCCUAACCUCCGACGCCCCCCCCCAGUGUUCGUGGUCCCCCUCCAAGGCGUAUUGUUAACAGAGGAAUAUUUUUAUCAGUGAUUUUAUAAGUAUACUAUCUACUAUCCGUACAGAUUUUUAGCACAAAGCGAAGCUGAGUAAUAUAAUGCAGAUCUGCAGUGGUCAUAUCAACAAAGUGUCUGCAGGCAAGAUGAACACACUAAAAUGUUUUUUAAUGAAACAGCAUUUGAUGAUUGUGUAAGAAGCAAAGCGCGUCCCGUCACAUAGUGAGUUGUGUUCCUGUGCCCCCCUCCUCCACAGUUGGUUCUCCUAGGGUUCUCCCUUUAGUCCUGGUUUAUUAACGGUUCUCCCUGGCGUUCCCUUGCUUUGUCUAAAUGUUCCUGUUUUUACAUGAAACAUGUUCUAAGCGUGUUAAAAGUGUGUUGUCCAAUAAGAAAGAGGAAGAGGAUCAUGAGAAACAUUCUGGACAGUGACGUGUGUGUCUCCUAGGCGACCCUGUAACAGUGACAUGCAUGUGUCUCCUAGGCGACCGCAGUAGUGUGUGACAGCUCUCCAUCUUGCUGGUUUUUUAAACACAUGUUGUUGUUUUUUAGAUGAGCGGUUCUCUGUGUCUGAUGUUCUGGAAUUCUCCAAUAAAACAAGUCCUGUGAAUUUUC